UACGUAGGGUGCGAGCGUUGUCCGGAAUUAUUGGGCGUAAAGAGCUUGUAGGCGGUUUGUCGCGUCUGCUGUGAAAAUCCGGGGCUCAACCCCGGACUUGCAGUGGGUACGGGCAGACUAGAGUGCUGUAGGGGAGACUGGAAUUCCUGGUGUAGCGGUGGAAUGCGCGGAUAUCAGGAGGAACACCGAUGGCAGAAGGC
rnacentral:rRNA from 1 species